AUUGCUUGAAAGUAGCUGUGGCUGUGGCCAUGAGUGAGAUUUGGUGCCCAGAGUCACCAGGGGCCUCCACUUGCUGCCCACUGCUUCAGUGUAGGGAAGUAAAACCCAAGCCCCAACAAGU
ensembl:snoRNA